rnacentral:rRNA from 1 species
UACAGAGGGGGCAAGCGUUAUUCGGAAUUAUUGGGCGUAAAGGGCGCGCAGGCGGCUACGCACGUCCGUUGUGAAAUCGCUCGGCUCAACUGGGCGGGGUCGGCGGAUACGGCGUAGCUGGAGCAAGCUAGGGGGCAAUGGAAUUCCCGGUGUAGUGGUGGAAUGCGUAGAUAUCGGGAGGAACACCAGUGGCGAAGGCGGUUGCCUGGAGCUUUGCUGACGCUGAGGCGCGAAAGCGUGGGGAGCGAGCCGG